rnacentral:misc_RNA from 1 species
CGAAUGGCUGCCUUCAGUGCUGGCUCUUAUGAGCAUGUGCACGUUGGUGGCUUUCAUCCAAUACCCAUGUGAACCUUUGGCCUCUUGCUAGCUUUGGCCGGCAGAGGAUUUUUACACACACACUCGAAUGUAAUGAAAACUAUUGUCGUGCGCAAGCACUAAUGUACAACUUUCAACAACGGAUCUCUUGGCUCUCGCAUCGAUGAAGAACGCAGCGAAAUGCGAUAAGUAAUGUGAAUUGCAGAAUUCAGUGAAUCAUCGAAUCUUUGAACGCACCUUGCACCCUUUGGCAUUCCCGAAGGGUAUGCUCGUUUGAGUGUCAUUGUACUCUCACACUCUCUGAUCCUUUGGAUUCAGGGAGCGGUGGACUUGGGUGUUUGCUGCUUUUCCUUGUGGCUCACCUCAAAUGUGUUAGUGCACCUCUUGGUUGGACAUAGAACGGCGUGAUAAGUGUCUUCGCCGGCACCUCGCAAGAGGGUGGCCAAUUGGGAGCUCUGUGCUUUCAAAUCGUCUUCGGACAAUCUCUGACAACUUGACCUCAAAUCGAGUAGGACUACCCGCUGAACUUAAGCAUAUCAAUAAGC